CCAGGAAGCCCAUUUUUGUCAAGAACUCCAGCCUCUGACGGUCUGUUGGCUGCACCUCGCAGAACACACCCUGAGAUCCUGCACACACAGAAAAGAUCCUUGAGCCAGUGAGCACUAAUGCUAAUAUCGACAAAAGAGUCCUCCAGAGAAGGUUUUCACACGCUGCACAGAGCAGGAACAGAUGCCAUGCAAUCGCUUCUACCUUCAUACACCUGUGGCUGCAUCCAAAGUGGGACUGUCAGUGUGCACCAUGACGCACAGAGUGGGCAGAUCAGUCCUCCACAGAUGUCAGGGACUGACUGUCCCUGUUGCUCACCACCGGCUCUGUCUGGCUCUUUGCCUGAGAUCACUCAACUCUUUGUCAUGGUGGAUGACGCUGGAACCAAGCGCAGUAUCUCACCCCAUUUUUCGACAAAAAUACCGUACUAAUUCCGUCACAGAGGGAUCCAGAUGGUGUAACUGCAGGUGGGUAUUUGUCCCUCAUGGCAGGCAUCCAGCUGGCCUGACACCGCUUGGCAAAGGAACGAACAUCCAAAAUGCCCAACACACAGCCACACGCACCCAGCUCAUCCUCCAGGAUGAAACAG